CCUACGGGCGGCUGCAGUGGGGAAUAUUGCACAAUGGGGGAAACCCUGAUGCAGCGACGCCGCGUGAGUGAAGAAGUAUCUCGGUACGUAAAGCUCUAUCAGCAGGGAAGAAAAUGACGGUACCUGACUAAGAAUCACCGGCCAACUACGUGCCAGCAGCCGCGGUAAGACGGAGGGGGCCAGCGUUAUCCGGAUUUACUGGGUGUAAAGGGAGCGUAGACGGCAGGGCAAGUCUGGAGUGAAAUGCCGGGGUCCAACCCCGGAACUGCUUUGGAAACUGUGCAGCUCGAGUGCAGGAGAGGUAAGCGGAAUGCCUAGUGUAGCGGUGAAAUGCGUAGAUAUUAGGAAGAACACCAGUGGCGAAGGCAGCUUACUGGACUGUAACUGACGUUGAGGCUCGAAAGCGUGGGGAGCAAACAGGAUUAGAUACCCUUGUAGUC
rnacentral:rRNA from 1 species